rnacentral:rRNA from 1 species
UCCGGAGGGAGCUAGCGUUGUUCGGAAUUACUGGGCGUAAAGCGCGCGUAGGCGGCUUUGUAAGUUAGAGGUGAAAGCCCGGGGCUCAACUCCGGAACUGCCUUUAAGACUGCAUCGCUUGAAUCCAGGAGAGGUGAGUGGAAUUCCGAGUGUAGAGGUGAAAUUCGUAGAUAUUCGGAAGAACACCAGUGGCGAAGGCGGCUCACUGGACUGGUAUUGACGCUGAGGUGCGAAAGCGUGGGGAGCAAACAGG